UGACAUCUGGCCUCAAAUCAGGUGGGACUACCCGCUGAACUUAAGCAUAUCAAUAAGCGGAGGAAAAGAAACUAACAAGGAUUCCCCUAGUAACUGCGAGUGAAGCGGGAAAAGCUCAAAUUUAAAAUCUGGCGGCUUUACCGUCCGAGUUGUAGUCUGGAGAAGUGCUUUCCGCGCUGGACCGUGUAUAAGUCUCUUGGAAUAGAGCGUCAUAGAGGGUGAGAAUCCCGUCUUUGACACGGACUACCAGUGCUUUGUGAUGCGCUCUCAAAGAGUCGAGUUGUUUGGGAAUGCAGCUCAAAAUGGGUGGUAAACUCCAUCUAAAGCUAAAUAUUGGCGAGAGACCGAUAGCGAACAAGUACCGUGAGGGAAAGAUGAAAAGCACUUUGGAAAGAGAGUUAAACAGUACGUGAAAUUGCUGAAAGGGAAACACUUGAAGUCAGUCGCGUUGUUCAGAACUCAGCCUUGCUUCCGCUUGGUGCACUUUCUGGAUGANGGGCCAGCAUCAAUUUUGACCGUUGGAAAAGGGUUGGGGGAAUGUGGCACCUUCGGGUGUGUUAUAGCCUUCAGUCGCAUACAACGGUUGGGAUUGAGGACCGCAGCGCGCCGCAAGGCAGGGGUUCGCCCACUUUCGCGCUUAGGAUGCUGGCAUAAUGGCUUUAAAUGACCCGUCUUGAAACACGGACCAAGGAGUCUAACAUGCCUGCGAGUGUUUGGGUGGAAAACCCGAGCGCGUAAUGAAAGUGAAAGUUGAGACCUCUGUCGUGGAGGGCAUCGACGCCCGGACCUGACGUUCUCUGACGGUUCCGCGGUAGAGCAUGUAUGUUGGGACCCGAAAGAUGGUGAACUAUGCCUGAAUAGGGUGAAGCCAGAGG
rnacentral:rRNA from 1 species